UACGUAGGGUGCGAGCGUUAAUCGGAAUUACUGGGCGUAAAGCGUGCGCAGGCGGUUCGACAAGUCAGCUGUGAAAGCCCCGGGCUUAACCUGGGAACUGCGGUUGAAACUGGAGGACUAGAAUCUGGCAGAGGGGGGUGGAAUUCCGCGUGUAGCAGUGAAAUGCGUAGAGAUGCGGAGGAACACCGAUGGCGAAGGCAGCCCCCUGGGCUGAGAUUGACGCUCAGGCACGAAAGCGUGGGGAGCAAACAGG
rnacentral:rRNA from 1 species